rnacentral:tRNA from 1 species
AAAAGCUCAGUUGGUUAGAGCACCUGACUGUUAAUCAGGGGGUCGUUGGUUCAAGCCCAUCCU